UUCUCGGCUCUAUGUCACAACCACCUAGGGUCCGCGCCUGGGUUAACGGUUCCCCCGGAUAAAGUGGAUCAACUGGAAACACCUAACGAAGGGCAAAUUAAGGGACGGAGCAGUCAGGUGGUUCAUUCACAGCUCCCUAAAGAACCACAGCCGGCUGACUCCAGACACAGGCAGGCCACGAACUUAAAGCCCAAAUGGAAGCGGGGAGCGGAGAAUUCUCCUCUCAGCUCAUCAAGGUUUUCUUUUCCACUCAUCAGCUUGGUGAAUCUUUUUUCCUUCCAAUAUGAGCAGACAUUCUCUCCAUAAGUAUAUUUUCCAGAUGAUGAUCUCUAUGGAGAAACAUAAAUGGAUUUGGAAUCCUCAGGAAUA